rnacentral:lncRNA from 1 species
GGUUUGAGAAGUUCUGGAUCUUUUAUCCAAGAUUUUGGAACUUGAUUUAGGAGGUGUGGAGGAUGCCGAUCCGUAGGAUGCGAGGUAUAAGAUGACUCACAGAUUGGAGCUAGCCAGAUGCAGACUCCUCAUUUGGAAUCGCUUGGAGGUGGACGACAUCUUCUGAUGGAUUGAGCAGGUCGAGGCUGAUAUUGAGGAGCUGUAGUUG